CGGUCAUGCGAAAAUGGGAUGAACCAUACGUCUGAAUAAGGUGCCGAAAUGUACUAUCACUGAUACCAUAAAGGGAGUCCAUGUAUUUAGACAGCAGGUCGGUGCCCCUAAAAGCAGGUAUCCGCUAAAGAGUGUGUUAAAACUCACCUGCCGAAUACUAGGGCCCCGAAAAUGAAUGGCGCAUAUAGUACUACCGAUCUCAGACAUCAGUUCUAUUGAACUGAGAGUAGGGGGAUGUGGACAUUUUUGUGAAGGUGCAAUGUGAGUUGGACUGGAAGAAUGUCUAUUACAGAUCCUAAUUGAAGUAGCGAUUAUCCAGGCUUGUAUCCUGGGGGCUGAUGAGGAGUAGGGUUUCUGGACAACUUAAACAGAUCCAGAGUUAGUCGAUCCUAAUCUCAAUAAUGGGAGAAAGGGAGUACAGUUGAUAUUCUGUAACUGACAACAGUUCGCGGCAACGCAUACUAUUUUUCUCCGCCAAUCUUAUACCGUUGGUAGGGAUCUCUUUCCUACAUGACAGUACUAAUACCCAGGGAAACUGGUCAUCAGGCGAACUGCGGCGUUCUGCUGGCAAAACAUAGCUUCGGUUAUGUCAAUGGCUAUUGGAUUGGUCCAUGAAGCGAAAAAUAGUUUACUGUGUCACUCGUACCGAUAACCGCAUCAGGUCUUCUAGGUAAGUAGCCUAUGGCCAUUGAGGCAUGAUAGUUCAGGGAAUUCGGCCAAUUAGAGCUGUAACUUCGGGAUAAAGCUUGGCUCUGAUGAAAAUCAGAACCGAUUGUUACGCGGAGAGCCCAACUGUUUAAUAAAAACGUAGUGUCGCGCUGUGGUAGUAUAGCCAGUGAACGCGACAUGAAUCCUGCUCAGUGCUGUGUCUGUUAAUAUGGUUCAAGCCAACGAAGCACCGGUAAAUAGCUGGGGUAACUAUGACUCUUAUCAAAGUAGCGAAAUACCUCGUCACUUAAUUAGUGACCUGCAUGAACGGAGCUAUG
rnacentral:ncRNA from 2 species